rnacentral:rRNA from 1 species
GGAAUAUUGCACAAUGGGGGAAACCCUGAUGCAGCAACGCCGCGUGAAGGAUGACGGUUUUCGGAUUGUAAACUUCUUUUCUUAGUGACGAAGACAGUGACGGUAGCUAAGGAAUAAGCAUCGGCUAACUACGUGCCAGCAGCCGCGGUAAUACGUAGGAUGCAAGCGUUAUCCGGAUUUACUGGGUGUAAAGGGAGCGCAGGCGGGACUGCAAGUUGGAUGUGAAAUACCGUGGCUUAACCACGGAACUGCAUCCAAAACUGUAGUUCUUGAGUGAAGUAGAGGCAAGCGGAAUUCCGAGUGUAGCGGUGAAAUGCGUAGAUAUUCGGAGGAACACCAGUGGCGAAGGCGGCUUGCUGGGCUUUAACUGACGCUGAGGCUCGAAAGUGUGGGGAGCAAACAGGAUUAGAUACCCUGGUAGUCCACACUGUAAACGAUGAUAACUAGGUGUGGGGGGUCUGACCCCUUCCGUGCCGCAGCUAACGCAAUAAGUUAUCCACCUGGGGAGUACGACCGCAAGGUUGAAACUCAAAGGAAUUGACGGGGGCCCGCACAAGCAGUGGAUUAUGUGGUUUAAUUCGAAGCAACGCGAAGAACCUUACCAGCACUUGACAUCCGACUAACGAAGUAGAGAUACAUUAGGUGCCCUUCGGGGAAAGUCGAGACAGGUGGUGCAUGGUUGUCGUCAGCUCGUGUCGUGAGAUGUUGGGUUAAGUCCCGCAACGAGCGCAACCCCUGCCAUUAGUUGCUACGCAAGAGCACUCUAAUGGGACCGCUACCGACAAGGUGGAGGAAGGUGGGGACGACGUCAAAUCAUCAUGCCCCUUAUGACCUGGGCUACACACGUAAUACAAUGGCCGUUAACAGAGGGAAGCAAAGCGGUGACGCAGAGCAAAACCCUAAAAACGGUCCCAGUUCGGACUGUAGGCUGCAACCCGCCUACACGAAGUUGGAAUUGCUAGUAAUCGCGGAUCAGCAUGCCGCGGUGAAUACGUUCCCGGGCCUUGUACACACCGCCCGUCACACCAUGGGAGUUUGUAACACCCGAAGUCAGUGACCCAACCGCAAGGAGGGAGCUGCCGAAGGUGGGAUAAGCGACUGGGGUGAAGUCGUAACAAGGUAGCCGUAGGAGAACCUGCGGCUG